AAUCCAUGUUGUGGGCAUUGAUGAAGUAAACCUUUGUAUUAUUACCAAGCCUCUGAAUACCAUUCUGAGUCCAAUUGUUGAAAAGUAGUAAACUCAUCCUUUUGCUU
rnacentral:snoRNA from 1 species